rnacentral:rRNA from 2 species
GAGCUAAUACCGGAUACGUUCUUUUCUCGCAUGAGAGAAGAUGGAAAGACGGUUUACGCUGUCACUUAUAGAUGGGCCCGCGGCGCAUUAGCUAGUUGGUGAGGUAAUGGCUCACCAAGGCGACGAUGCGUAGCCGACCUGAGAGGGUGAUCGGCCACACUGGGACUGAGACACGGCCCAGACUCCUACGGGAGGCAGCAGUAGGGAAUCUUCCGCAAUGGACGAAAGUCUGACGGAGCAACGCCGCGUGAACGAAGAAGGCCUUCGGGUCGUAAAGUUCUGUUGUUAGGGAAGAACAAGUACCAGAGUAACUGCUGGUACCUUGACGGUACCUAACCAGAAAGCCACGGCUAACUACGUGCCAGCAGCCGCGGUAAUACGUAGGUGGCAAGCGUUGUCCGGAAUUAUUGGGCGUAAAGCGCGCGCAGGUGGUUCCUUAAGUCUGAUGUGAAAGCCCACGGCUCAACCGUGGAGGGUCAUUGGAAACUGGGGAACUUGAGUGCAGAAGAGGAAAGUGGAAUUCCAAGUGUAGCGGUGAAAUGCGUA